UGCUGGAGUUAUCUUAUCUGGGAGCUCGCAGUCGUCAAACGUGGAUCCCUCCUUCAGAAGUUCGUGGCGAAUCUCUGUGAUGACGUCCGCCCUCUCUUUAGUGUACAUAACACCUGGAAGACUUCACCUUUAUGAGAAGAUGAAAAGCGGAAAUGAUGUCCCUUCUUGAUGCCGGUCAUUUUCUUGAACUUAUAGGGGCGAAGAAGGUGAUCCAGUCCAGUGUUGGGACAAUCACAUUCCCAUGCUCAUCACUGACCAGCUGUGCCUCAUUACAAAUAGCUGACUUCUGGACAACUUCAGCAAUUGACCUUAGGCUACCAAUCCUGGUCCUCUUGAAGAGACGCUUAAAGAGUCCGAAGCACCAGUCAGGAGCGAACUUGGUGUGACCCACUACCAGGAAGGACAGAGUGAUGUUAGUGUGCCUUCCUGUGAUGACCCUCCACAGCAGCCCGUGGUUCUCCAAGAAGUAGUGCAGCUGGCUGAUCACCGUGUUGGAGCCCUUCCCACAGUCACCUGCCUCAUCACAAAGGAAAUUGACUUGGCGUGGGAAGGCCUCGCAGUGAAUACCAAAGACUGCACACUUUCUUGGAGUGAGAAAGAACACUGGGCCAGGCUGUAGUGGAUCACACGGAUAAUGAACCUGAAAGAGAGAUGUCAUGCACGUACUGUACGUGACUGUAAAACACACGUACAGUACAUGGCUCUCACCUGCUGAGCAUAAUCAAAAGAAUAGUGAGCCUUGAUGGGUGCCGAGUUUGGUUCUGCUCUGGAGUGAAGAGGAGGAGGAGAGAAUUCGUUAUUCACUGUGUAGUGCUGCGUGAUUGAAUCCUUGCACUCCUUGCGAACAGCCGUGUAGUACGACCACUCUAUCGUCACGGUGGUGAGAUGGUCCUGAUACGCCUGGAGUGCCGCAUUCUUCUCCUCUAGUGAUGAUGAAGCACUCUUGAUGGCUUCACCACGUUGUUGGCAUGUCCAACAUAAGUCGGUGAGAGGCUUCAUGAUUACCAGUGAUGGUAGUAACUCCAGCCACCUUCUGCAAAAGUCUUUCCAGAUGUUCCGUUUGGUCACACUAGAAGGAAGUAGCUUGAUAUCCGUGCGACAGUAGCCAGGGACUCUACCAGGCAGAAGCAUCCCGUGGACCUCAGAGUAGUUGGUAAGAGUUGUUUGGGGGAGCCGUCGCUUGUUGCCGUGCACUCUAGCAGCAAGUCCAUACUUGCGAUAGGAGGACUUCAGAUUUUUCAGUUUCGUCUUUCCUAUGUAUGAAAGGAAUCGAAAGACAGGGGCACACACUGGUUGUCCCUUGUGUUUGUACAACACACUGCUCCGUUUCCGCUGAGACUUCUUGUGUUUGUGGCUGGGUCCGCAGAUUUUGUUGACCUUCAUUGACGAAUGGAGCUGCGCCAGAAUGACCAAGUCGAGUUUGUCCUUCGAUAGCUCUAAACAUUCUCUCUUGGAAUCAGUCAAUUGAUUUUUACCAAGAAUUGACGCGCAGAUUUAGCCCCAGAAAACCUUGACUGAUGGGAGGACGGAGGAGGGAGCCGUUGGAG